GAUAACAUGAUCCUGACUUCCGAAAGUCAUGGACAGCUCUGAGACUGGGUAACCUGAGCUGUGACUUGUGCCAAUCAGAGAACAACGACACUUGGCUCCAGAAAUCCAGGCAUGAGAGCUGGGGAAGUGGAGAAAUCACAAAGAACAGUUUAUAGACAUGCGACAGCAGCCAAACUAAGUUCAGGCUGGUUAUUAACAUGAAGAAAACUUUUGCCUUGAAAGUCGUAUUGCUCUCUCCAUCCCUCAGCAUUCUAUUCCCCUCCAUGCCAAGCCAGAAUAAACCAGUGUUGGCUCAACCGAGCUUCUUUUAGGUGCCCUUGGAGAUACCGUUGUGAAAAUCUCUCAUCAAACCAAGACUGCAGUACAUGACAGGAACUUACUUUGAUAGAGAGAGUCUCUGAGUGGCCGAUGGCUGCGCUGCUAUAAGUCAAGUCCUGAAAAAGCUUUGCAGCAGAAACUGCAUGUUAUGUAAUUUGGCAACUUUAUGACAAGGAGAAAAUUAUUGCCUCUGGUGUUUGUCGUAUUAGACUUGAUCAUGUUGAAUUCUCUUUGUAUCCAUUUGGAUGUCAUGCACUGCAGAACUCAAUAGGAAUUCCAUUGUAACUGAGCAGUAAUUAAUGCCCAUUUAUUACAGUGGCACCCAUUGUUUUAACCCAAUCAGUUUACUGACUAAAUAUACUGGAUAAAAUAUGUUAUCUUUUUGAGUAUAAUAUGUAUUUAUA